rnacentral:sRNA from 1 species
GCCAGAUGUUGUGGCACACAUGGGAAUCCCUGCUACUGGGGAGGCUGAGGAUGAUGAAUCACUUGAGUCUGGAAGUUUUUGGUUGCAAUGGGGCUAGUGCAGCAUCGGUACGGUGAGUUCCUGAGAGCAGGAGGCAACCAGGGUGCCUAGGGAGGGGUAAAGUGGCCCAGGUCAGAAAUGAAGCAGCUCAAAGCUUCCAUGCCAAUCCUCACUGGGAUCAGGCCCUGUUCCAGCUGAUGAGAUAAGGGAGACCCAGUCUCA